rnacentral:tRNA from 1 species
GCCUUGGUGGCAGAAUGGUUAAGCACUCAGCUGCUAACUGAAAAGUUGGUGGUUCAAACCCACCCAGCAGCU